rnacentral:rRNA from 1 species
GAUGAACGCUGGCGGCGUGCCUAAUACAUACAAGUCGAGCGAAUGGAUUGAGAGCUUGCUCUUAUGAAGUUAGCGGCGGACGGGUGAGUAACACGUGGGUAACCUGCCCAUAAGACUGGGAUAACUCCGGGAAACCGGGGCUAAUACCGGAUAACAUUUUGAACCGCAUGGUUCGAAAUUGAAAGGCGGCUUCGGCUGUCACUUAUGGAUGGAGCCGCGUCGCAUUAGCUAGUUGGUGAGGUAACGGCUCACCAAGGCAACGAUGCGUAGCCGACCUGAGAGGGUGAUCGGCCACACUGGGACUGAGACACGGCCCAGACUCCUACGGGAGGCAGCAGUAGGGAAUCUUCCGCAAUGGACGAAAGUCUGACGGAGCAACGCCGCGUGAGUGAUGAAGGCUUUCGGGUCGUAAAACUCUGUUGUUAGGGAAGAACAAGUGCUAGUUGAAUAAGCUGGCACCUUGACGGUACCUAACCAGAAAGCCACGGCUAACUACGUGCCAGCCGCCGCCGUAA